UACGAAGGGGGCUAGCGUUGCUCGGAAUCACUGGGCGUAAAGGGUGCGUAGGCGGGUCUUUAAGUCAGGGGUGAAAUCCUGGAGCUCAACUCCAGAACUGCCUUUGAUACUGAGGAUCUUGAGUUCGGGAGAGGUGAGUGGAACUGCGAGUGUAGAGGUGAAAUUCGUAGAUAUUCGGAGGAACACCAGUGGCGAAGGCGGCUCACUGGUCCAUUACUGACGCUGAGGUGCGAAAGCGUGGGGAGCAAACAGG
rnacentral:rRNA from 1 species